UACGGGGGGAGCAAGCGUUGUUCGGAUUUACUGGGCGUAAAGGGCGCGUAGGCGGCCUGUGCAAGUCAGUUGUGAAAUCUCCGAGCUUAACUCGGAAAGGUCAACUGAUACUGUGCGACUAGAGUGCGGAAGGGGCAACUGGAAUUCUUGGUGUAGCGGUGAAAUGCGUAGAUAUCAAGAGGAACACCUGCGGCGAAGGCGGGUUGCUGGGCCGACACUGACGCUGAGGCGCGAAAGCUAGGGGAGCGAACGGG
rnacentral:rRNA from 1 species